rnacentral:lncRNA from 1 species
CAGAACAUCAAUGACCGCCAUUUGAAUCAACAAAAACAGAUAAGGGACUGAGGCUCUGAAAAUGUAAAUACAUUGCCCCGACUUGCAAGGAGCUGUAACACUGUGAGGGUCUGGUCAGCUGCUUCAUUCUUGAAGUCAGUGAGACCGCAAACCCACCAGAAGGAACCAACUCCGGACACAGAGGGACUAGAUAAUACUGGCUGAAUGAAGGAAUAUGAACAAGGCCACUGGAGCCUCAUGGUUUUGUCAGCUGAAAUAGUACACCCACUAUAGAGUAGAGUGAAUUUAGUGUUUAUUUCUGCUGAUGAUGAAGGAGCCAUUCCAAAUUACUCUACUGGAAUUACAUUGAACAUGGACAAAAAUCUUCAAUCAAACAAAUUCAUACAAAAGGAAUUCAGGGUAUUUAAUCAGAAGAGAAGG